rnacentral:rRNA from 1 species
GACGAACGCUGGCGGCGUGCCUAAUACAUGCAAGUCGAACGCAGUGGGAGCGUGUGAGUAACACGUGGGUAACCUCCCAUCAGAGGGGAUAACACUUGGAAACAGGUGCUAAACCGAUACUGAUUGAUGGACCCGCUGUGCAUUAGCUAGUGGGUGAGGUAACUGCUCCCCAAGGCCACGAUGCAUAGCCGACCUGAGAGGGUGAUCGGCCACACUGGGACUGAGACACGGCCCAGACUCCUACGGGAGGCAGCAGUAGGGAAUAUUCGGCAAUGGACGAAAGUCUGACGGAGCCACGCCGCGUGAGGGAAGAAGGUUUUCGGAUCGUAAAACACUGUUGUUAGAGAAGCGGUAUCUAAACAGAAAGCCACGGCUAACUCCGUGCCAGCAGCCGCGGUAAUAC